rnacentral:misc_RNA from 1 species
GAUGAAGAACGCAGUGAAAUGCGAUAAGUAAUGUGAAUUGCAGAAUUCAGUGAAUCAUCGAAUCUUUGAACGCACAUUGCGCCCGCCAGUAUUCUGGCGGGCAUGCCUGUUCGAGCGUCAUUUCAACCAUCAAGCCCCCGGCUUGUGUUGGGGACCUGCGGCUGCCGCAGGCCCUGAAAAGCAGUGGCGGGCUCGCUGUCACACCGAGCGUAGUAGAUCUCAUCUCGCUCAGGGCGUGCUGCGGGUUCCGGCCGUUAAACCACCUUCAUAACCCAAGGUUGACCUCGGAUCAGGUAGGAAGACCCGCUGAACUUAAGCAUAUCAAUAAGCGGAGGA